rnacentral:rRNA from 1 species
UACGGGGGGGGCAAGCGUUGUUCGGAAUUACUGGGCGUAAAGGGCUCGUAGGUGGCCAACUAAGUCAGACGUGAAAUCCCUCAGCUUAACUGGGGAACUGCGUCUGAUACUGGAUGGCUUGAGUUUGGGAGAGGGAUGCGGAAUUCCAGGUGUAGCGGUGAAAUGCGUAGAUAUCUGGAGGAACACCGGUGGCGAAGGCGGCAUCCUGGACCAAUACUGACGCUCAUGUGCGAAAGCGUGGGGAGCAAACAGG